UUUAACGAGAGAGUUCGAUCCUGGCUCAGGAUGAACGCUGGCGGCGUGCCUAACACAUGCAAGUCGAACGGAAAUUACAGAAGGAAGUUUUCGGAUGGAAUUUUGUAAUUUUAGUGGCGGACGGGUGAGUAACACGUGGGUAACCUGCCCUGUACCGGGGGAUAACAGUUGGAAA
rnacentral:rRNA from 1 species